rnacentral:SRP_RNA from 2 species
CAAUGGAAACUGGACGGCAGUAACGUCGCCAACCCCGCCAGAUUCGAAAGAAAGCAACGGUAACGAUUGUUAUUGGGUGUCCAGUUCCCGAAAGGC